CCAGAGAACUUAGCAGAGAUGCUUUGGUGCCUUUCGGGAACUCUGAGACAGGUGCUGCAUGGCUGUCGUCAGCUCGUGUUGUGAAAUGUUGGGUUAAGUCCCGCAACGAGCGCAACCCUUAUCCUUUGUUGCCAGCGGUCCGGCCGGGAACUCAAAGGAGACUGCCAGUGAUAAACUGGAGGAAGGUGGGGAUGACGUCAAGUCAUCAUGGCCCUUACGAGUAGGGCUACACACGUGCUACAAUGGCGCAUACAAAGAGAAGCGACCUCGCGAGAGCAAGCGGACCUCAUAAAGUGCGUCGUAGUCCGGAUUGGAGUCUGCAACUCGACUCCAUGAAGUCGGAAUCGCUAGUAAUCGUGGAUCGGAAUGCCACGGUGAAUACGUUCCCGGGCCUUGUACACACCGCCCGUCACACCAUGGGAGUGGGUUGCAAAAGAAGUAGGUAGCUUAACCUUCGGGAGGGCGCUUACCACUUUGUGAUUCAUGACUGGGGUGAAGUCGUAACAAGGUAGGCGUAGAUGA
rnacentral:rRNA from 1 species